UUUUGCUUAAUGUUUUCUUUACUCAUACUCUGUUUAUAUGUGUAGCAUUGGAAAGAUACUCUACGAAGAAUAUUCUUCCUUUACACACAAUAUAUAUUGCUAACAGAUUCUCCUUUUGUAACAAACAUACUAACAGCAUUGUAACAAUAUUAAUUGUUGAUCUUCUGACACUUGGCAUCAUUAGGACCGUUGAUAUCUUUACA
rnacentral:lncRNA from 1 species